UACGUAGGGUGCAAGCGUUGUCCGGAAUUAUUGGGCGUAAAGAGCUCGUAGGCGGUCUGUCACGUCGGCUGUGAAAACCCGAGGCUCAACCUCGGGCCUGCAGUCGAUACGGGCAAACUAGAGUGUUGCAGGGGAGACUGGAAUUCCUGGUGUAGCGGUGAAAUGCGCAGAUAUCAGGAGGAACACCGGUGGCGAAGGCGGGUCUCUGGGCCGAAACUGACGCUGAGGAGCGAAAGCUAGGGGAGCGAACAGG
rnacentral:rRNA from 1 species